ensembl:lncRNA
AACGUCUGUACAGCUCCACACAAGUUUUGCUUUGGACUAAGGCAGCACGUUAUCUUCAUUUUCGUGGACUUGUUUCUUAUUUUAACGUCUGCUACAGGUCGUCUUCAGUUACUACGGGACAGCAUCUUCUGCCAGCAUCUACCAGAGGUCAGUCCAGUGGUUGCUUGCAAGAAGUCAUUGAGAUGAUUUUGACGAGAAGGGAGAGCUUCUGUUCCACUGCGUUGAGAUGACAAGCCUUUCAGAUGUUCAGAUGGAGAAAGUGCCACCAACGCCCUUCAUCAUUGUUUGCGGUUCCUCCUGCUUCGCUGCUGAAACAUUCAUGUUGAGCAUUGACAAGAAGAUUGUCAACGACCGCAUCACAACCUUCACCUCUGCUAUCUGCCUAAUGUUUGGCAGUUACAGUACUACUGCUUUAACAUACACUACCCUGUGGAACUACGAUCAACACUGGAGUUCCUUCAACGGUGUUUCUUUUCCAUAAAUCCUGAGAGAGGCACUAAGGUUGAAUCAAAGAAGAAAAAAGUGUUCUCAGUCAAUCCCAGAGUCCUCACUCUCAUCUCAGACAUUGCUGACCAUGAGUGGAUCUAGUCCUACCCCUCUUGUUUGAGACAAAGUGAUAAAGGUAUACUGUUACAUACUCUACAGAUGUUCUGUUUUUGAAACAUUUCUGAUUGUGAGUGGGAAGUUUUUAACAAUGUGAAGUUUUACUAGACAAAAUUUCUAAAAGUACAUGUUCUACUUUUGAUUCACUGUUUUAUAUAUGAAAAAUGUAUCUGGUAAAAAUGUGGUAAACCUGCUAUUUAUUUUCAAUUUUAACAGAAUAAAAUUGUAUUUUAUUAUUUUUUUUAUAGUUAAUUUUACAGGGAAAAAAUGUGUUUUCUGGCACAAACUUUAUUUUAUGUUAUUUUCAUGUUAAUUUUAGGGAAAAAUAUUAUUUUUUCUUCAAGUUAAAACAUUUUCUUCUACGGUAAAAUAUUGAUCCUAGCACUAUUUUUAACCGUAAAAUCAACAAUAACAAUACCUUCUUACUGUUAAAGAAGAAAAUGUUUCACCCGUAAUUUUACGGUAGAUUUCUGGCAACCACAGCUGCCAGCGUUUUACCGUAAAAUCUACAGUUUUUUUUUUUUUUUUACAGUGCAUAAUUUUAAUUUUAUUUAUUUUAUUUUAUGUUUUGAUUUAUUUUCUUUUUUGGUGGUUUCAGCUCCACAAGUUCCAUGUUAAUUUGAUCUAGUCUUGUUUUAAGUUCUGUAAAUUUUUCUUAUACCUGUUUUUUAUUAUAAGUAGUUGUUCCAUGUUGUUCAUUCAUUGAAUGAAGGGUUGAAACUGGUCUCGCAGGCUGACCUAAAACAGCAAAAACUUUUCUGAGGCCUUGUGGCCAGUGCCAAAUAGUGUUCACACAGGAUAGAUUAAUAAAUGUUCAUGUCCUUGCUGUGGUAGAACCAAACAGCAAACUCCUGGGCUGGCUAUCUUUCAGUGUCGACGUGAGACCAAAUCUAAAAGUGAGUGAGUUCCCACAGUCUCCCAUAUUAGCAUGCUUAUAUGUUUCCAGCCCUGCUAUGGUCUCUAUGGAUAUUUUCCACUUCAUAAAUUGAACUUUUUAUAUAACUAAACUGUUUUUGCUAAUGCUUAAAGCUUGAGGUACUUCUGCUGGUAUCUAUACCCAGGUCUUUUCUACUAAGCUUUACAUCCACUAAUUCCAACCACUGAACUGG